GGCUUCUGCGGUUUAACCUGCACCGCCACCACAUCCCUUUAGGUGUGGGGAAGGAGGUGUAAAAUCUGGGAAGAUUCUGGCUUGGCGGAGGAGCCCGUGUGUUUCGUGUUUCCGCUGAGAAGGCACGCCACUCUUGUAGUGGGGAUGCUGUUCUGUGAUGAGCAUCGAGAAACACACACGGUGCUUUGGAAUAAGAGUUGGGCAAGAGAGAGAGAGAGAGAGAGAGAGAGAGAGAAGGUGGAUCGGUGGCACGCCAGAAAAGUAGCAAGGUGGGAGGAGGGCGUAAGGUAAGCCCCCGUUUGAAAACCAGAAAGAAAAUUAGACCACAAAGGAAAAGUGGGAGAUUCCCUCCCACACAAAAAGCAUGAUACGAAUAGCUUUAAAAUGGAUACGUUCACCACCUUACGGAGACGUGGCUCUAGAGGAACUCUUUAUCAGUGUCAAAUUAUGACAAAUGACAUUGAGGGGAGAGUCACAAGGGGGCGCAGAACAUUGUCCUCACAGAGAUUACACAGUUUUUUUCCAUCUCCUCCUUUUUUUUUACUGCUCUGUUGCUUGGU